UUUGAUCCUGACUCUCUCCUGUGAGACUGUUUUUACAGACAUGAGGAUCAUCACACGUGUCUCUGUCAAUCACUGAAUCAACUGAGUUUGAUUGUGAGUCACGUCACACUUGAUAUAAAAGUGAAUUUCUUUCAAUAAUUGAGGUUGAUGUUUUAGUAAUAAGACAGAUGAAGUAAAUGCAGGUGAUGUGUGCUGUGAGUGUGUGUUUGUUGGAGACUCAGUUGAUGUGUGUUUGUUCAGUUAGUGAAGCGUUCAGGAGGUUUUUGUUCAGCUGCUCUAUUAGUUUGUAUCACUGUGGUGGACUUUCGGCAGCGGCACCAAACUGGAUGUUGGCAGCGUCACUCGUCCUAAAGUGAGCGUCCUGCCGCCCUCCAGUGCAGAGAUCUCCUCAAA